rnacentral:rRNA from 1 species
GGGAUGAGCUGUGGAUAGGGGUGAAAGGCCAAUCAAACUUCGUGAUAGCUGGUUCUCUCCGAAAUGCAUUUAGGUGCAGCGUUGCGUGUUUCGUGCCGGAGGUAGAGCACUGGAUAGGCGAUGGGCCCCACCGGGUUACUGACGUCAACUAAACUCCGAAUGCCAGUCAAGGUUCAGCGUGGCAGUGAGACAGUGGGGGAUAAGCUUCAUAGUCGAGAGGGAAACAGCCCAGACCACCGGUUAAGGCCCCUAAGCGUGUGCUAAGUGGGAAAGGA